AGAGUUUGAUCCUGGCUCAGGAUGAACGCUGGCGGCGUGCUUAACACAUGCAAGUCGAACGGACAGGUAAUGAAACCUAAUGAUUUAUCUGUUAGUGGCGGACGGGUGAGUAACGCGUGGGUAACCUGCCGUAUACAGGGGGAUAACACUUAGAAAUAGGUGCUAAAACCGCAUAAGCGCACAGGAUCGCAUGGUCUGGUGUGAAAACUCCGGUGGUAUACGAUGGACCCGCGUCUGAUUAGCUUGUUGUGGGGUAGAGGCCCACCAAGGCGACGAUCAGUAGCCGGCCUGAGAGGGUGAACGGCCACAUUGGGGCUGAGACACGGCCCAAACUCCUACGGGAGGCAGCAGUGGGGAAUAUUGCACAAUGGGGGAAACCCUGAUGCAGCGACGCCGCGUGAGUGAAGAAGUAUUUCGGUAUGUAAAGCUCUAUCAGCAGGAAAGAAAAUGACGGUACCUGACUAAGAAGCCCCGGCUAACUACGUG
rnacentral:rRNA from 1 species